CCUACGGGCGGCAGCAGUGAGGAAUAUUGGUCAAUGGACGAGAGUCUGAACCAGCCAAGUAGCGUGAAGGAUGACUGCCCUAUGGGUUGUAAACUUCUUUUAUAUGGGAAUAAAAUGUUCCACGUGUGGGAUUUUGUAUGUACCCUAUGAAUAAGGAUCGGCUAACUCCGUGCCAGCAGCCGCGGUAAUACGGAGGAUCCGAUCGUUAUCCGGAUUUAUUGGGUUUAAGGGGAGCGUAGGUGGAUUGUUAAGUCAGUUGUGAAAGUUUGCGGCUCAACCGUAACAUUGCAGUUGAAACUGGCAGUCUUGAGUACAGUAGAGGUGGGCGGAAUUCGUGGUGUAGCGGUGAAAUGCUUAGAUAUCACGAAGAACUCCGAUUGCGAAGGCAGUUCACUGGACUGCAACUGACACUGAGGCACGAAAGUGUGGGUAUCAAACAGGAUUAGAUACCCCUGUAGUC
rnacentral:rRNA from 1 species